rnacentral:tRNA from 1 species
GGGCCGUUGGCGCAGUGGUAGCGCACUUCAUUUGCAAUGAAGGGGUCGGGAGUUCGAAUCUCCCACGGUCCA